GUAUGUGAUAAGCCAAAUUCUCAAAGCACGAGAUCCCGCCUGAUCUUGGAAGCUAAUCAGGGAUUAGCCCUGUUAGUAUUUGGAUGGGAGACUACCAAUGAAUAACAAAUUGGGUAUUAUUUGCA
rnacentral:rRNA from 11 species